UCCCUGAAGGACUAGUGGUUAGGCCACAUCGUCCUCGCCGCCGUGACCCGGGUUCGACUCCUGGCCAGGGAA